UCCGUAGGUGGAUAAUUAAGUCAGAGGUGAAAUCCUGCAGCUCAACUGUAGAAUUGCCUUUGAUACUGGUUAUCUUGAGUCAUUAUGAAGUGGUUAGAAUGUGUAGUGUAGCGGUGAAAUGCAUAGAUAUUACACAGAAUACCGAUUGCGAAGGCAGAUCACUAAUAAUGUACUGACACUGAGGGACGAAAGCGUGGGGAACGAACAGGAUUAGAUACCCUGGUAGUCC
rnacentral:rRNA from 1 species